rnacentral:rRNA from 1 species
UACGUAGGGGGCAAGCGUUGUCCGGAUUUAUUGGGCGUAAAGAGCGUGUAGGCGGUUUGGUAGGUCCGCUGUGAAAACUCGAGGCUCAACCUCGAGACGCCGGUGGAAACCAUCAGGCUAGAGUCCGGAAGAGGAGAGUGGAAUUCCUGGUGUAGCGGUGAAAUGCGCAGAUAUCAGGAAGAACACCCGUGGCUAAGGCGACUACCUGGCCUGUUCUUGACGCUGAGGCGCGAAAGCUAGGGGAGCAAACGGG